rnacentral:rRNA from 1 species
AAGUCGAGCGAGAAAGGGGCUUCGGUCCUGAGUAAAGCGGCGGACGGGUGCGUAACACGUGGAUAAUCUGCCCUUCGGCGGGGGACAACAGUUCGAAAGGACUGCUAAUACCGCAUACGUCGGCAGGGACUCCGGUCUCUGUCGGGAAAGAGGGCGCCCGCAAGGGGCUCUCACCGGAGGAUGAGUCCGCGGCCCAUCAGCUAGUUGGCGGGGUAACAGCCCACCAAGGCAAAGACGGGUAGCUGGUCUGAGAGGAUGAUCAGCCACACUGGGACUGAGACACGGCCCAGACUCCUACGGGAGGCAGCAGUGGGGAAUAUUGGGCAAUGGGCGCAAGCCUGACCCAGCCAUGCCGCGUGAGUGAUGAAGGCCUUCGGGUCGUAAAGCUCUGUGGGGAGGGACGAACGACCGGGGAAUUAAUACCUCCCCGGAGUGACGGUACCUCCUUAGCAAGCACCGGCUAACUCCGUGCCAGCAGCCGCGGUAAUACGGAGGGUGCAAACGUUGCUCGGAAUCAUUGGGCGUAAAGCGUACGUAGGCGGUCCAUUAAGUCGGGUGUGAAAGCCCACGGCUCAACCGUGGAAGUGCAUUCGAAACUGAAGGGCUUGAGUACGGAAGAGGGUCUCGGAAUUCCCGGUGUAGAGGUGAAAUUC